rnacentral:lncRNA from 1 species
AAAGACUUGGGUCCAAAACUUAUUUAUUCCAUGACGAUCAUCUAAGAAACUGUUUUUCUAUGAGAUCACAGAUUUAAUUGACUUAAGUAUGAAGAAUUAGACCAAAUUGAUUUUGCCAUUUUGUGUUUUAGAUUUGAAAUCUUGACAUCAGUCUCCAAGCUAUUGGAAUGGUGUGAAGGGCAGGAGACAAAGAUUUCAAAUAGACUUUGAAACUACAGGAAGCCAAGAAUGUCUUUGAGUAGGGGAAUGUUUCAUUUGUAUAUAACAGACAUCCCUUUCCCCAAAGGCAUAAAUAUAAAGGAUAUAACAGUAUAACUGCACUGAGUGUUAACUUAAAAAUCUCUUAUAACCCUUCAAGUAAUAUUAGUGACUAUUCUUACAAAAAAAUUGGUUAUGCACCUUCCUUCAAAGCAAGAAAGGAUGCAAUGAGGAAAGGAUAGAGAACUAUGACUAGUCAGUUGUGCUAGGGAUAAUCUAGACAAACUGCCAUUCAAGGAUAAAGGCAAAAGGAAGUUUUGGACAUUCAAGAACUCAUGAAUUACUGCUCUGAAGGCCCCUUCUUAAGAAAUCUAUCGGAGAGCAAACUUCAGCUAACCAAGAGGUAGCUGGAACAGGACCACCAGAAGUCAAGACAGCUUUUUUCCUAUCGUUGCUGCUGCUAAAGGAGUUCAUGAGGACUAAGUACUAUUCUGAGGUGCAUCUUAACAGUCUGUCUGCUGUCACUCUGACAAUGUCACUGACAAUAUCACUGACAGUGUCUGUGCUGUCACAAUAUUCCUGGUAGCUUAUACUUGUCAUAGUAAAGUCUAUUUUGGCAUAGAACAAGAACAUAAUACUGUGCCCCAAAGUCAUAAAGGAUGGAAAAAAAAAUCAGUCAAUGCUAUUUGUGCAAUGUUCUUUCUAUGUGACCCCGUGCUCUGGUUGAGUGUUUGAAUAAAAUG